GUCUGUCAGCUAUCUUGAUCGCGGUCAGCGGUCGAUGACGAACUAAACAAUUGCCGAUUGUGUGAACACCACAGGCCACGCUACGCCACGAUUCCUUUGAAGUGUGCCCAAAAAACCAA